UUAUGCUAAUUCGUUUGAGGCUACGCUCCCGGAUUACGCUCCCGGAUUACGCUCCCGGAUCCGGGAUUGCUCGUCGCAAGAGGUUUUAAGGGUUUGUACCUUGUAUUGUAUGUGUACUUAGAAUAUUGUUUAAAAAAAUAGCUGGAGUGGGUCAUUAAUGUUCUAACCACAACAUGAUUGUGCGUGUGUGUGUGUGUGUGNNNNNNNNNNNNNNNNNNNNNNNNNUGUGUGUGUGUGGUGUGUGUGUGUGUGUGUGUGUGUGGGGGGACUUGAUUGACAACAGGGGAUUUUGCGCAGCAUGGGCGUCGCUACACCGCCGUAAUCCCGACUAACGUGUAUGGUCCCAUGACAACUUCAACUUUGAAAUGGUCACGUGCUCUCAGCGCUCAUGCAUAAGACAUAUGCUGCUAAAAAGGAGGGAACCCCACUACAGGUGUGGGGCUCCGGAACACCCAGGAGACAAUUCACUACUCUCUGGUAGUUUAGUGAAUUACUCUGUGUGUGUGUGUGUGUGUGUGUGUGUGUGUGUGUGUGUGUCAGAUAUGUGCGUGUGUACAUUAAUAUGUGUGUGUGUUUUCUCAGGAGUUUGCACGUCUGUUCCUCUGGGUGCUGCGGGAGAUGAUGAGAUUGACCCCAUCAUUCUCUCUGGUGAGUCCAACAUGGGUGUGUGUGUGUGUGUGAUCAGUCAAUGUGUGUGUGUGUUGUGUGUGUGUGUGAUCAGUCAAUGUGUGUACCAUAUGUAACUGGACCAAGCCUCUUUGUCACUUGUUUCUCACAGUGGGGAGGAGGAGGAGCUCCCCAUCAAGGACGCCAUAGAGAUGAUUGCAGAUGCCCUGGACUUCAAAGGUCAAAUAGUUUUAUCCUUCCACAGGCUGUGUACGCCUGAUGGAGUUGCUCCUCGGCACAGAUCUAGGAUCAGCGUAUCUUCCCAAUUCCUUACCUUAACAUCAUUCAAAUUUGACCUAGAUCAGUGUCUAGAACCAAUCUAGUAGAAUCCUUAGUACAACACCAGCAACCAUAUCUAAAGGUUCAUACACCUGUUGGACUGAAAGACGUACAGAUGUAGUACAUUAUGCCCACUCGGACUGGCUGUCCCCCAUAUCGUUGCACUGUAACUAUGUCAUCUCCCUGUGCUUUUGCCUUCUGUGGCCCUUGACCUAUGACAUCAGUUCGACACCAGCAAGUCAGACGGUCAGAUGAAGAAGACGGCCAGCAACGCCAAGCUGCGACGCUACCUCCCUGACUUCACCUUACGCCGCUCUCUGAAGGUCAGAGAUCCAAAUAUUGAGGGUUGUAUUUCCUGUCCAGAAAACAACCAAUAUUGUAGUUGGAAUUAGUUUCUUGUAAAUAACACAGACGCAUUACAGCAUGAUAUUUGAU
rnacentral:lncRNA from 1 species